rnacentral:tRNA from 5 species
GCGGGCGUGGCGGAACUGGCAGACGCGCGGGGUUUAGGUCCCCGUGGCCGCAAGGCCGUGCAGGUUCGACCCCUGUCGCCCGCA